rnacentral:rRNA from 1 species
CCUACGGGAGGCAGCAGUGAGGAAUAUUGGUCAAUGGGCGCGAGCCUGAACCAGCCAAGUAGCGUGAAGGAUGACUGCCCUACGGGUUGUAAACUUCUUUUAUAAAGGAAUAAAGUGAGGCACGUGUGCCUUUUUGGAUGUACUUUAUGAAUAAGGAUCGGCUAACUCCGUGCCAGCAGCCGCGGUAAUACGGAGGAUCCGAGCGUUAUCCGGAGUUAUGGGGUUUACAGGGAGCGUAGAUGGGUUGUUAAGUCAGUUGUGAAAGUUUGCGGCUCCACCGUAAAAUUGCAAUUGAUACGGGCAGCCUUGCGUACAGUUGCGGUCGGCGGAAUUC